rnacentral:miRNA from 1 species
UGAGGUAGAAUGUUGGAUGACU